AUCUAUGGCCAUACUACCCUUAAGGUGCCCGAUCUCCUCUGAUCUUGGAAGCUAAGCAGGGUUGGGCCUGGUUAGUACUUGGACGGGAGAAGACUUUGUUCUAGAAGACAUUGGUUAUUGUAAUUU
rfam:Callithrix jacchus chromosome 2, whole genome shotgun sequence